UUUUCCGAACUUAUAAAAAAAUUAACUAAAUCUGUGUUUCAUUAACAUUACUAUUCAACCAAUUAAGUAACUUUUAUUUUUCGUACUUAUGAUUACUAUGCUGGUUGAUUAUCUUUUAACAACUAAUGCUUUUUACUCAACAGAUCAAGAAUCAAAGUCACGAGUGUCGCUUUAAAUGUACUUAAGUAGCUUUCUUUAUACCAUAAGUUACAAGAUCAAAUGCUACUAAAAAUCAUUAUCGAAUACAUUUGAUGCUCAAAUGAGCAGUAUUUUAUCACAGCCACAACCAAAAAUUGUUGACAAUGACCUGAUAUCCUUUAAACUGUGCCUGUGCACCUGUUCAAACUUGCUCAAUUUCAGCUGAUUAUUUCAUCAUCCAAUGAUCUGAAUUCAGACUAAUGCAGACAGCAGACUGUCUGCAUUAUUCUGGUUAGCUAAUUUCAGGCACCAAAAAUGAUUCAACUUGGAGCAAGCUGCUUGAUAUUAAGCACUCCGAUCUCGAAUUUUCAUAAUACCUGUCAUUUGUCAUUUUCGGAUUAUUACGUUAUCAGUGGAUUGGAUAAAUAAUGACGAUAUUGGGUGAGAAAAAGUCAGCAUGUACAAUACACUGCACAAAUGUAUAACGUCGCUGGU